rnacentral:rRNA from 1 species
UACAGAGGUCUCAAGCGUUGUUCGGAUUCAUUGGGCGUAAAGGGUGCGUAGGUGGCGCCGUAAGUCGGGUGUGAAAUUUCGGAGCUUAACUCCGAAACUGCAUUCGAUACUGCGGUGCUUGAGGACUGGAGAGGAGACUGGAAUUUAUGGUGUAGCAGUGAAAUGCGUAGAGAUCAUAAGGAAGACCAGUGGCGAAGGCGGGUCUCUGGACAGUUCCUGACACUGAGGCGCGAAAGCUAGGGGAGCGAACAGG